AGCAACGCCGCGUGAGUGAAGAAGGUUUUCGGAUCGUAAAACUCUGUUGUAAGGGAAGAACACGUACGAGAGUAACUGCUCGUACCUUGACGGUACCUUAUUAGAAAGCCACGGCUAACUACGUGCCAGCAGCCGCGGUAAUACGUAGGUGGCAAGCGUUGUCCGGAAUUAUUGGGCGUAAAGCGCGCGCAGGCGGUUCUUUAAGUCUGAUGUGAAAGCCCACGGCUCAACCGUGGAGGGUCACUGGAAACUGGAGAACUUGAGUACAGAAGAGGAAAGCGGAAUUCCACGUGUAGCGGUGAAAUGCGUAGAGAUGUGGAGGAACGCCAGUGGCGAAGGCGGCUUUCUGGUCUGUAACUGACGCUGAGGCGCGAAAGCGUGGGGAGCAAACAGGAUUAGAUACCCUGGUAGUCCACGCCGUAAACGAUGAGUGCUAAGUGUUAGGGGGUUUCCGCCCCUUAGUGCUGCAGCUAACGCAUUAAGCACUCCGCCUGGGGAGUACGGCCGCAAGGCUG
rnacentral:rRNA from 1 species